AUAACCCUAUAUCUGACUCUUUUAGUUUUAGGACUUACAAACAACCGUUAUGUGAACAAAACUAUAAUACUCUCCUUAGCAACAUUGUUGCGAGAGUAUAAAAAGCGAUUACUUUCAGUCCUGCCAUUUAACGAGAUUUCCGGCGAAUGUUCUACGCAGAUACGUACUCAUAAAUAUUUGUCAAAGCGAACUGGAAAUCACUAGAUAGUUGUUUGCGCACAGCCACAAUAUAGAGCCAAAGUAUGAGCAAUGAUUUACUCCACAGCACAAUGAACAAAUUGAAUCCCCUUUGAUAGACGCGAAGAGAGAGGUUAGUAACUCUUUGAAUAGAAAAAAUAAUGAAAAGCGAAAAUAGAUGUAAAGAAAAAGCCAGCGGCUGCCACCUCAGAAACUUUUGUUUGCUACGGCAGCUUGUCCGUCAAAAGAUGAACGUAGACGACGUCAAAUUGAACAAUGCUGCUGCUUCACCGAUUUGUGUGUAGUAUUCAAGACUGAUCUCCUCGUACUUUUACCUUGAAAUCUUUUGACCUUCAAACCGGGAUCAUUGUAAUUGACAGUUUGGGUCGCACCAGCCACAAAGAAAUGAAAGCAACCCCGUUACUAGCCACCAAGAAAAAUGUUGUGGAAAGAAGGGCGGGCAAAUGAUUAUUAUAUCGCUGACAAAGCUCUUAAUCAGUUGAGUCGAGCAUAGCUGGGAUUAAAUAAGUGAAGCGCUUUACAAUUUACUUGUUGGACUACAGAUAAAAUUUUUCGAUAAUCAGUGUUGUAGUAGAGAUGGGUGUGAAAAGAAGCAAGGAAUAAGAACCUAGUAAUUAACACAUAAUUUCGGUCAUAAAUAAUACGAGUUGAUACAAUGAGUGCACAUUUUUUUCAUUUAUUCUUCUUCUUGCGUGCGAUUAAAGGUUUAUCGUUGCAACAAAUGCUUGAUUUUAUUGAAGAGCUUGACGAAGCAGGUGAUCAAGAUGAUGUACCAGCUACUAUUUAUAUUGAACCUCCUGUGGAUGGCAAUAUAUCUGGUGAAGAUGAUGCGGAAGACGAAUCUGGGGGAAUACCAGAUAAUGUUUGUCCCCCUCAGCUUAAAAGCGAAUGUGAAGA